ACACAAUCAAAAUUUCUCAGUCGAUAGUGAAGUAGGUACUUGCUAAUACAGAAAAAUACAUCUACUUGGAAAACAAAUAGGAUUUAACAGCAAAAACAAUGAGUUAUAAGUAGAAUGAAGAAUACAAAACAAUGAUAUUAAUUAAGAAAAUUAGCUGAAUAUUUGGCGUCCCUUUGUGAGUAGAUAAUCUAACCGUCCCUAAAAACUUAAAUAGAAAUGAGUGGGCCAUGUAGCGAGACUGCAAGAUAAAAGAUGGACCAAAACAAUCACUUCGUGGAAUGAUACACGAGGAAAGCUUACAAAGGAAGACCCCCACAUAAGAUAGUAGGAUGACAUCAUACGGACAACUGCCCAAACUAAAUACAGCUCAGAAUAUGGAUAAUUGGUUUUCCUUGGUUAAGGCACUCACCCGAGGAGGUGUUCUUGCAAAUAAUUAAAUAUAAAAGCAAAUAA